rnacentral:rRNA from 1 species
ACGCUCGACACCUACGGGAGGCAGCAGGUGGGGAAUAUUGCACAAGUGGGGGAAACCCUGAUGCAGCAACGCCGCGUGAAGGAAGACGGUUUUCGGAUUGUAAACUUCUGUUCUUAGUGAAGAUAGUGACGGUAGCUAAGGAGCAAGCCACGGCUAACUACGUGCCAACAGCAGCGGUAAUCUGAGCGGGCUGGCAAGGC